CUCAUACUCAGCCUGGGCUAUGGCUACCACCCCAAUAAGACCAGCUAUGACGCCAAAGCUCACCUUCCGCCAGGGGCUACUGCAGAUGGGCUGUCCACGUGGAUCCUGAACCCAGAGGACCUGCAUUUUGGAGAAGGUGGGGCCACGGACCACCCACUCCCAGACACACUGCCUCUGCAACCACCUCACCUUCUUUGGAAGCACGUUCCUGGUGAUGCCCAACACCAUCGACAUCUGCCAGACUGCCGAGCUCUUUGCCACCUUCGAGGACAACCCUGUGGUUGUGACCACCGUGGGCUGCCUCUGUGUGGCCUAUGUGCUGGUGGUGAUCUGGGCAAGGAGGAAGGACGCUCAGGAUCAGGCCAAGGUGAAAGUCACAGUACUGGAGGACAAUGAUCCCUUUGCCCAGUACCACUACCUGGUGACAGUCUACACUGGACACCGGAGAGGAGCAGCUACUUCCUCCAAGGUGACUGUCACUCUAUAUGGCUUGGAUGGAGAGAGUGAACCCCACCACCUGUCAGACCCUGACAUUCCAGUUUUUGAGCGGGGAGGAGUGGAUGUCUUUUUACUCUCCACCCUGUUCCCCCUGGAGGAACUGAGGGGCCUGCGGCUGUGGCAUGACAACUCAGGGGACCGGCCAUCCUGGGCUGUCCUCCUGGAAAUGAGAAAAUGCACGUCUGGAGCUUCCGAGCAUAGUCUUCAUUACACAGUAAAUGCUCAGUAAAGAAGGGCUCUUGAUAUCAUCGCUAUUCUUGUUGGCCAUAAGGCAACAGGAGAAAUGGCUGCUCCGACAUCCCAACAGAGCCCAAGAUUGCUCCGAAGAGACCAGCCUUCUCCCAUCCCUGCGCCUCUCUUCCUGCCUGCUCACAGCCACCUGUUUUUCAUGAAGACCUCCACGGGCCUCCACGAUGGACACAUGUGGU